rnacentral:rRNA from 1 species
AGAGUUUGAUCCUGGCUCAGGAUGAACGCUGGCGACGUGGAUAAGGCAUGCAAGUCGAGGGCCCCGCAAGGGGACCGGCAGACGAGGUAGUAAUACGUAGGUACGCACCCCCGAGUCUGGCAUAGCUCGUCGAAAGACGGGGUAAUUCCAGAUAGUUCCCCUUUAAUGGGGUAAAGAUUUAUCGCUCAGGGAGCGGCCUGCGCAGUAUCAGCUAGUUGGUAGGGUAAUGGCCUACCAAGGCUAUGACGCUUAGGGGAGGUGAGAGCCUGGCCCCCACCGAUGGCACUGAGAUACGGGCCAUACACCUACGGGUGGCCGCAGUCGAGAAUCUUCCGCAAUGGGCGCAAGCCUGACGGAGCGACGUCGCGUGGUUGAUGAAGUCCUUCGGGACGUAAAGACCUUUUAUGAGGGAAAAAGUUAUUGAUUGUACCUCAUGAAUAAGGGGUUGCUAAACUCGUGCCAGCAGCAGCGGUAAUACGAGUGCCCCAAGCGUUAUCCGGAAUCACUGGGCGUAAAGGGUGCGUAGGUGGUCUUAUUAGCCUUGCCUUAAAUCUCCUCGCUUAACGGGGAGGCUGGGUGGGGAACGGUAAGACUAGAGGGUGUGAGAGGUCUGUGGAACUCAUGGUGUAGGGGUGAAAUCCGUUGAUAUCAUGGGGAACACCAAAUGCGAAGGCAGCAGACUGGCACAUCACUGACACUGAGGCACGAAAGCGUGGGGAUCAAACGGGAUUAGAUACCCCGGUAGUCCACGCCCUAAACGAUGUUCAUUAGCUUUUCGGAGUAUCGACCCUCUGGGAGGCGUAGCUACGCGUUAAAUGAACCGCCUGGGUAGUACGAGCGCAAGCUUAAAACUCAAGGAAUUGACGG